rnacentral:pre_miRNA from 1 species
CCUCAGGGCCCCGUCUCCCAACCCUUGUACCAGUGCUGCUGCAGUCCCUGGUACAGGCUUGGGGGGCAGGGAGCCGGGG